AUUGAACGCUGGCGGCAGGCCUAACACAUGCAAGUCGAACGGUAACAGAAAGCAGCUUGCUGCUUUGCUGACGAGUGGCGGACGGGUGAGUAAUGUCUGGGAAACUGCCUGAUGGAGGGGGAUAACUACUGGAAACGGUAGCUAAUACCGCAUAACGUCGCAAGACCAAAGAGGGGGACCUUCGGGCCUCUUGCCAUCGGAUGUGCCCAGAUGGGAUUAGCUAGUAGGUGGGGUAACGGCUCACCUAGGCGACGAUCCCUAGCUGGUCUGAGAGGAUGACCAGCCACACUGGAACUGAGACACGGUCCAGACUCCUACGGGAGGCAGCAGUGGGGAAUAUUGCACAAUGGGCGCAAGCCUGAUGCAGCCAUGCCGCGUGUAUGAAGAAGGCCUUC
rnacentral:rRNA from 1 species